rnacentral:rRNA from 1 species
UUGAGUUUGAUCCCGGCUCAGGAUGAACGCUAGCGGCAGGCCUAACACAUGCAAGUCGAGGGGCAGCGAGUCUAGCUUGCUAGAUGUCGGCGACCGGCGCACGGGUGCGCACCGCGUAUGGAACCUACCUUGUACAGGGGAAUAGCCCAGGGAAACUUGGAUUAAUGCCCCGUGGUACUGUUGAUCGGCAUCGAUCGGCAGUUAAAGCCUUCGGGCGGUACAAGAUGGCCAUGCGUCCCAUUAGCUAGUUGGUAAGGUAACGGCUUACCAAGGCUACGAUGGGUAGGGGCCCUGAGAGGGGGAUCCCCCACACUGGUACUGAGACACGGACCAGACUCCUACGGGAGGCAGCAGUGAGGAAUAUUGGACAAUUGAGGAGACUCUGAUCCAGCCAUGCCGCGUGCAGGAAGAAUGCCCUAUGGGUAGUAAACUGCUUUUAUACGGGAAGAAAAAGAGCUACGUGUAGCUUACUGACGGUACCGUAAGAAUAAGGACCGGC